rnacentral:rRNA from 1 species
CCUACGGGAGGCAGCAGUGGGGGAUAUUGCACAAUGGGGGAAACCCUGAUGCAGCGACGCCGCGUGGGUGAAGAAGCGCCUCGGCGCGUAAAGCCCUGUCAGCAGGGAAGAAAAUGACGGUACCUGAAGAAGAAGCCCCGGCUAACUACGUGCCAGCAGCCGCGGUAAUACGUAGGGGGCAAGCGUUAUCCGGAUUUACUGGGUGUAAAGGGGGCGCCGACGGCGAUGCAAGCCAGGAGUGAAAGCCCGGGGCCCACCCCCGGGACUGCUCUUGGAACUGCGUGGCUUGAGUGCAGGAGAGGAGAGUGGAAUUCCUAGUGUAGCGGUGAAAUGCGUAGAUAUUAGGAGGAACACCAGUUGCGAAGGCGGCUCUCUUGACUGUAACUGACACUGAGGCACGAAAGCGUGGGGAGCAAACAGGAUUAGAUACCCGUGUAGUC